rnacentral:rRNA from 1 species
ACAUGAAGCUGGAGUUACUAGUAAUCGCAGAUCAGAAUGCUGCGGUGAAUGCGUUCCCGGGUCUUGUACACACCGCCCGUCACACCACGGGAGUUGGAGACGCCCGAAGCCGAUUAUCUAACCUUUUGGAAGAAGUCGUCGAAGGUGGAAUCAAUAACUGGGGUGAAGUCGUAACAAGGUAGCCGUAUCGGAAGGUGCGGCUGGAUCACCUCCUUUCUAAGGAGA